GUCUGGCUGGCUCAGUCGGAAGAGCAUGCAACUCUUGAUCUCAGGGUCAUGAGUUCAAGUCCCAUGUUGGGUA
rfam:Ailuropoda melanoleuca scaffold379_28, whole genome shotgun sequence.